rnacentral:lncRNA from 1 species
AUAGUAAAACCUAAAAUUAGCCGAAAAACCUAAAAUUGACGAUAAACACUAAAUCGGCCGAAAAUCCAAAAAAUCGGCAGAAAAAACCUAAAAUCGGCCAAAAGCCCAAAAAUUGACUAUAAACUCUAAAAUUGGCCGAAAACCCAAAAAAUCGGCAGAAAAACCUAAAAUUGGCCAAAAUUUCAAAAAUCGACUAGAAACCCUAAAGUCGGCUGAAAACCCAAAAAAUCGGCCGAAAAACCAAAAAUCGGCCGAAAACCCAAAAAAUCGGCCGAAAACCUUAAAACGGCCAAAAUCCAAAACAUCGACUAUAAACCCUAAAAUCGACCGGCAACCCGAAAAAUCGGCAGAAAAACCUAAAAUCGGCCAAAAUUCCAAAAAUCAACUAUAAACCCUAAAAUCGGCUGAAAACCCAAAAAAUCGGCCGAAAAACCAAAAAUCGACCAAAAACCCAAAAAAUAGGCCAAAAUCCAAAAAAUCGACUAUAAACCCUAAUAUCGGCCGAAAACCCAAAAAAUCGGCCGAAAAACCAAAAAUCGACCGAAAACCCAAAAUCGGCCAACAUCCAAAAAAUCGGCCGAAGAAUCUAAAAUCGUCCCUAAACCCAAAAAACUCGCCCGAAAACC